UACGAAGGGGGCUAGCGUUGCUCGGAAUCACUGGGCGCAAAGCGCACGUAGGCGGAUUGCUAAGUCAGGGGUGAAAUCCUGGAGCUCAACUCCAGAACUGCCUUUGAUACUGGCGACCUUGAGUCCGGGAGAGGUGAGUGGAACUGCGAGUGUAGAGGUGAAAUUCGUAGAUAUUCGCAAGAACACCAGUGGCGAAGGCGGCUCACUGGCCCGGUACUGACGCUGAGGUGCGAAAGCGUGGGGAGCAAACAGG
rnacentral:rRNA from 1 species